CCAGAAGCCAGCCCAGCUUCUGCGUGCUUUUUUCCCUGAGGCUGAGACCAAAGAAGAGCUGAUGAUUUCCCCAAGUUGAUUUACUCUCAUAUCUGCCAUGAAGAUUCUGGGUUUUGGAUAGCCGAUGCUUGUUGCUGUUCUCUCCAAGGUGCUUUCUACAUGAUUAAAACUUCUCCCUAGCCCAAGGGUCAGAAUGAUAUGCCUUUAAUUACCAAGGGCUGUGGAAGAAACUAUCAAGUGAAACCAGCAAGAAUCUGUGUUCUAGCUGAGGCUGUCAGAGUUCUGCAGGGAAAACGUGCUGUUUGCCACCACUGCCCCCUCCCCAGCCCAGAGCAGUGCUGGUCAGCAGGAGCACAGCUGUCCACCCCCUCUGCCCCGCAAGAAGAAAAGCUUCAUAUUGAGUGCUGUAAAGACCUGUGCUUGAAAUCUGCUACUGCCUGCAACGUUCUGAUGCCUGGGAAGGGAGGAAGUGCUCCAGAGCUGCAGGUCCCCAGUGGAAACACAGAAGGGUUAACUGGCUGCUGCCUGCAGAGACUGCUUCAUGGAACUCUUCAGAUCUUAAAUGCUGAGAAGGGACAUGAAACAAUAAUCCCCUAGAGAACAUGCUGAAUGAUUCAAGAAAUUCCCCUCAAAUGGGCGCAAUGAGGCCAGGAGGCCAGUGCCAGCAUGCUUUGCCACUGUGAGCCAGCAGAAACCAAACAAGGAGACUGGCAAUGUGACUGUGAACCAGCUAACACAAAGCUUAGGAACUGGAAAUUCAAAGAUCAGCGGGAUCAACAACUGGCCCAUUUCUGAUAUGGGAUAAACAAAAAUCACAACUACAUCAGGGUCAGCUGGGAAUGGGACUCUGCACCAAAUCACCAGUGGCAGUUUCUCUCCUUCAGGCAGUGUUUUGGUUUGGGCUUUUUUUCACCCCUCUCAAAGCUACAGAAAGCUGUGGAGCAGACCUUUUGCACUUGCCUAGGACAUAAACCUCCUCUUCUUGCUGCAUUCAUUUGCUAAAUAGCAUGGUAGCCUGUGAGAAACAUUCUGAAACAGCUGUUUGAACUUGAUUUUUAUGUUCUUCUUCCUCUAGCAAAGUGCCUGCAAGUUCAGUACAAACAGAUCAACAGAGCCAAGCACAGCUUGUAGCCUAGCUACAGAAUUCAGCCUUUGCUCUCAACUACUGAGGUUUUGGAUGAUGUCAGUCUGGUCUCCUGAGGGCUGCUGUUGUCAUCAGAUAGUGAGGUCGAUAAGGCACAUGUUAUGAUGAGGCAUGCUGUUGGGUUUAACCAUAGUAUCGUGCAUGAGGUAGCCAAGAGAGUGGUGCAUUUCCUGGUACAGUGCCUUGAUAAGGCUCUUGCUGCUUCACAGGUAUUUCCACCAUGCUGUCCUCAAUGUUCAGCACGCAACAGAUUGAGGACAACCUGAAAGGCCGAACAGUGCCACGGUUCAAAAAUCCAGUUCCUCUAUCAAAAACAUGUUUGGGACUUCUUGUUUCUUUUCCUGAUUUCAAUUUCACUCUCACCUCACCUUUCUUUUCAAUUUAACUUUUUACAAAGUGAGUAGAGCAGGACCCAAAACAGCUGUUCAGAGCUGGACAAAGUAUAGCCAGUUUCUGGAUCAGUUUUUUUUCCUAGUUCCUCACCUAGUACUCCCCCAUUGCACUGGGGAAGCACCUGAAAUCCAGCACAGCCUUCAAGGUAGGGGCCUUUGGCUGGAGUUGAAGGCUCCAGCCCCUGCCAGAACUUGUUUCCACACUGUUGAGAUGCUCAGUCCUGAAUUGCGGCUUCUUCCUCUUUUCCUAGUUUACUUGAUAUUGAAUAUUAUGAUCUGUUUUACUAGCAGACCAAAUGAUAACAGUUCAGGACCAGUUAUGUGUCUCAAAGACCACUAAAAAGGAAUUUGUACAUUGCCUUUAGCAGGAGUUAGACUGGAUUUUACUUUUUUGCAUUCCUGUUCCUUGUUUACUUUUUGUAUUUCACUUUGAUGGAGCAGAGGAAUAAGCUGGAUUCCCAGUCACCCCUUGCUGGCAGCCAUUGGAGAGUCAUGGCAGUCCUAAUCCUACCAAUGGGACCACACAGAAUAGACAUGUAAAAAUUGAAGUAAUCCACACUUCCACCAUCUGGCCUUUUCACAGUCAGUCCCUAUGUACCAGAAAAAGGUGCACAAUGUACUUUUAAAAAAAUCCUAAUUAUACAAAUUACCAUCUUGAACCACACUGCCCACCAGCUUUUAAUGACGAGUGAGCCCAUUUCACUACCUAAAUAAACCCUCUAGAACCCAG
rnacentral:lncRNA from 14 species